GGUCUGAUCCUGACAGGAGAAGCUUGCUUCUCGCUGACGAGCGGCGGACGGGUGAGUAAUACUUAGGAAUCUACCUAGUAGUGGGGGAUAGCUCGGGGAAACUCGAAUUAAUACCGCAUACGACCUACGGGAGAAAGGGGGCAACCUUGUUGCUCUCGCCUAUUAGAUGAGCCUAAGUCGGAUUAGCUAGAUGGUGGGGUAAAGGCCUACCAUGGCGACGAUCUGUAGCUGGUCUGAGAGGAUGAUCAGCCACACCGGGACUGAGACACGGCCCGGACUCCUACGGGAGGCAGCAGUGGGGAAUAUUGGACAAUGGGGGCAACCCUGAUCCAGCCAUGCCGCGUGUGUGAAGAAGGCCUUUUGGUUGUAAAGCACUUUAAGCAGUGAAGAAGACUCUAUGGUUAAUACCCAUAGACGAUGACAUUAGCUGCAGAAUAAGCACCGGCUAACUCUGUGCCAGCAGCCGCGGUAAUACAGAGGGUGCAAGCGUUAAUCGGAAUUACUGGGCGUAAAGCGAGCGUAGGUGGCUUGAUAAGUCAGAUGUGAAAGCCCCGGGCUUAACCUGGGAACGGCAUCUGAUACUGUUAGGCUAGAGUAGGUGAGAGGAAGGUAGAAUUCCAGGUGUAGCGGUGAAAUGCGUAGAGAUCUGGAGGAAUACCGAUGGCGAAGGCAGCCUUCUGGCAUCAUACUGACACUGAGGUUCGAAAGCGUGGGUAGCAAACAGGAUUAGAUACCCUGGUAGUCCACGCCGUAAACGAUGUCUACUAGUCGUUGGGUCCCUUGAGGACUUAGUGACGCAGCUAACGCAAUAAGUAGACCGCCUGGGGAGUACGGCCGCAAGGUUAAAACUCAAAUGAAUUGACGGGGGCCCGCACAAGCGGUGGAGCAUGUGGUUUAAUUCGAUGCAACGCGAAGAACCUUACCUGGUCUUGACAUAUCUAGAAUCCUGCAGAGAUGCGGGAGUGCCUUCGGGAAUUAGAAUACAGGUGCUGCAUGGCUGUCGUCAGCUCGUGUCGUGAGAUGUUGGGUUAAGUCCCGCAACGAGCGCAACCCUUGUCCUUAGUUACCAGCGGUUUGGCCGGGAACUCUAAGGAUACUGCCAGUGACAAACUGGAGGAAGGCGGGGACGACGUCAAGUCAUCAUGGCCCUUACGACCAGGGCUACACACGUGCUACAAUGGUAGGUACAGAGGGCAGCUACACAGCGAUGUGAUGCGAAUCUCAAAAAGCCUAUCGUAGUCCAGAUUGGAGUCUGCAACUCGACUCCAUGAAGUAGGAAUCGCUAGUAAUCGCGGAUCAGAAUGCCGCGGUGAAUACGUUCCCGGGCCUUGUACACACCCCCCGUCACACCAAGGGUGUUGAGUGCACCCGAAGCGGGUUAAGUCGCCACAAGGUAGCCGAACACU
rnacentral:rRNA from 1 species